CCUACGGGUGGCUGCAGUGAGGAAUAUUGGUCAAUGGGCGCGAGCCUGAAGCAGCCAAGUAGCGUGAAGGAUGACUGCCCUACGGGUUGUAAACUUCUUUUAUAAAGGAAUAAAGUGAGGCACGUGUGCCUUUUUGUAUGUACUUUAUGAAUAAGGAUCGGCUAACUCCGUGCCAGCAGCCGCGGUAAUACGGAGGAUCCGAGCGUUAUCCGGAUUUAUUGGGUUUAAAGCGAGCGUAGGUGGGUUGUUAAGUCAGUUGUGAAAGUUUGCGGCUCAACCGUAAAAUUGCAAUUGAUACUGGCAGCCUUGAGUACAGUAGAGGUAAGUGGAAUUCGAGGUGUAGCAGUGAAAUGCUUAGAUAUCACGAAGAACACCGAUUGCGAAGGCAGCCUACUAGACUGCCACUGACAUUGAUGCUCGAAAGUGUGGGUAUCAAACAGGAUUAGAUACCCGGGUAGUC
rnacentral:rRNA from 1 species